rnacentral:rRNA from 1 species
GAUGAACGCUAGCGAUAGGCUUAACACAUGCAAGUCGAGGGGCAGCAUGGUCUUAGCUUGCUAAGACUGAUGGCGACCGGCGCACGGGUGCGUAACGCGUAUGCAACUUGCCUCACAGAGGGGGAUAACCCGUCGAAAGACGGACUAAUACCGCGUACACUUGGGAUAGGGCAUCCUGACCCAAGGAAAUGAAAUUCGCUGUGAGAUAGGCAUGCGUCCCAUUAGCUAGUUGGUGAGGUAACGGCUCACCAAGGCGACGAUGGGUAGGGGAACUGAGAGGUUGAACCCCCACACUGGUACUGAGACACGGACCAGACUCCUACGGGAGGCAGCAGUGAGGAAUAUUGGUCAAUGGGCGAGAGCCUGAACCAGCCAAGUCGCGUGAAGGAUGACUGUCUUAUGGAUUGUAAACUUCUUUUAUACGGGAAUAACAAGAGCCACGUGUGGCUCCCUGCAUGUACCGUAUGAAUAAGCAUCGGCUAACUCCGU